rfam:Felis catus isolate Cinnamon breed Abyssinian chromosome E2, whole genome shotgun sequence.
GCCUGGGUGGCUCAGUCGGUUGAGCGUCUGACUUCAGCUCAGGUCGUGAUCUCACGUUUGUGAGUUCGAGCCCCGCGUCAGGCU